rnacentral:lncRNA from 12 species
AUGUCGCGGGACUUGAAGACGUCAUUCCCGAGCGGGAGCGGGGCCUUGCGGGGCCGGCGGCCGGGGGAGUCGUGCGUGCCGGACAGGCCCCUGGCCCGGAAAGGAUACGUGGUGCGCGAGGGUCUGAAGCUAAAAUGUCGUCACCAGGGGGUAAGCUUUACGCCCAACAUGGAGCUUGAACUCGUGGCCCUGAGAUUGAGUUUCAUGCUUACAGAACUGACUGAGCCAGCUAGGUGCCUCAGGUAGGAAGAAGUUGUGAUCAUCCUUUCAACAAAACACAAAUCCCCAAAGGGGUUUAUUAGCCGUCUGUAAUUUACAAACAUCCAAGUAACUCCAAAGCUUCAAUUCACCCUCCUAAGAGGUUACUCUCUAGUCACAGCCACUGCAGUUCUCCAAGCCAUACAGGAUAGCACAGAGCAGAAGGCUACAUCUCCAAGGACCUGAAACUGAGUGUGUUGGCUACACAAUCAUUAUCUGGAAAGUUCAGGCAGUGCCCAUGCCAUCCCUGAGAUUUCACUCCAGCCAUCACUUAGAGGACUUCAAACACAUCCCACAGGCAAGGCUGACAAUGCUCCAGGAUCCAAAAACAAACAAAGGGAAUCUGGCCUGAUUUGUGGAGAGUCACUAUUUUAAAUCUUCCUUCCCCCUGCCCAGGGUAUUUGGGAAUCUCUGUGAUAAAUUGUAAAUUAUUACCACAUGUGGAAUUUAAACAUGUAUUUGCAUUGUCUCAGUAUUGCAAGAGAGUAACAUGUAUUUUGAAAUUUGAACCACAUCAUCAAUGCCUUUUACCAAGUCAUGCCUUUGUUCUUUUACAAGAGAACAUUUACCUUUGAAAGUGACCUGAGGCAGUGAAAAUUAAUCAUUUGGGGGACAAUAUAAAGUGCAAUAAUUAAUUUCAUAGUAGUUAUUUUAAGUUGGCUCAGUUUCAAAUUAAUCUAGGAAAAAAAAAAACAUUAGAAAGGUUUCUUUUGGUUUCUUUCUCUGCUUUAAAAAAAACCAGGGAAAUGGAUUUUAUAUUUUAAUAAAUACUGCUAGCAUUUUAUACUUUUUUUUCA